rnacentral:rRNA from 1 species
GCCAGUAGUCAUAUGCUUGUCUCAAAGAUUAAGCCAUGCAUGUCUAAGUAUAACAACUCGUACUUGUGAAACUGCGAACGGCUCAUUAAAUCAGUUAUAGUUUAUUUGAUGGUAACCUUCUUACAUGGAUAACCGUAGGAAAAUAGAGCUAAUACAUGCCAAGAGACCCGACUUUAUGGAAGGGUUGUAUUUAUUAGAUAGAAAACCAAAUAUUAUUUGGAGGAAUCAUAAUAACUAGACUAAUCGUAUGUCUUCGCGACGACGAUGCUUCAUUCAAAUUUCUGCCCUAUCAACUUUCGAUGGUAGUAUAGAGGACUACCAUGGUGAUAACGGGUAACAGAGAAUUAGGGUUCGAUUCUGGAGAGGGAGCCUGAGAAAUGGCUACCACUUCUAAGGAGGGCAGCAGGCGCGCAAAUUACCCAAUCGUAACACACGGAGGUAGUGACAAGAAAUACCAAUGUGUUUCACAACGUGGAAUGCAAUUGGAAUGAGUACAAUUUAAACCCCUUAACGAGUAGCAAUUAGG